AGUGAACGCUGGCGGCAUGCUUUACACAUGCAAGUCGAACGGCAGCGCGGGCUUCGCCCUGGCGGCGAGUUGCGAACGGGUGAGUAAUACAGCGGAACGUGCCCAGUAGCGGUGGAUAGCUGGGCGAAAGCCGGAUAAAUACCGCAAGCGACCUGAGGGUGAAAGCGGGGGAUCUUCGGACCUCGCGCUAUUGGAGCGGCCGAUGGCAGAUUAGCUAGUUGGUGGGGUAAAGGCCUACCAAGGCGACGAUCUGUAGCUGGUCUGAGAGGACGACCAGCCACACUGGAACUGAGACACGGCCCAGACUCCUACGGGAGGCAGCAGUGGGGAAUUUUGGACAAUGGGCGAAAGCCUGAUCCAGCAAUGCCGCGUGUGUGAUGAAGGCCUUCGGGUUGUAAAGCACUUUUGGCGGGAACGAAAAGGACUGUGCCAAUACCACGGUUCGAUGACGGUACCCGAAGAAUAAGCACCGGCUAACUACGUG
rnacentral:rRNA from 1 species